UACGUAGGGACCAAGCGUUGUUCGGAUUUACUGGGCGUAAAGGGCGCGUAGGCGGCAAUUCAAGUCAUCUGUGAAAUCUCCGGGCUUAACUCGGAACGGUCAGAUGAUACUGCUUUGCUAGAGUACGGAAGGGGCAAUCGGAAUUCUUGGUGUAGCGGUGAAAUGCGUAGAUAUCAAGAGGAACACCUGAGGUGAAGACGGGUUGCUGGGCCGACACUGACGCUGAUAGCGCGAAAGCCAGGGGAGCAAACGGG
rnacentral:rRNA from 1 species